UUUUAGCCUUCAAAAUAAUAAAAAAACUGAAACAAUCCCUUAAACUCUCUCUCCCUCCUCCAUUUUCUCAUUUCGGCUAGGGCUUUAACACCCAUCAUCGCCGCCAUCGUCGUGGCCUUUUGUGGCCGCCGUAGUUCCCACCGUAGACGGUGGUUAAGGGUAUGCGAAAAGGGGCUUUCCACCUCUGUUCAAGGCGUCCAAGAGUUUAUGAGGAUAGACCCCUUUUUAUUUCCCUUUUGAAUCGGUCUCAAUCACGGAGCAGAGGCUCCGGCGACGCGAUUCCAGGCUUCGGUAAGUCCCCUCCCUUCUCUUUAUUUCUAUUUAUUUUCGGAUGUCUAAAGAAAUAAAAAUCAAAAGAAAACAGAAUAUAUGAAUUUUAGAACUUAAAACGAAAAUGGAAACGAAAUCAACCUUUUAGUUUUCUUGCUAUUAUGUUUGCUUAAUGUCUCCCCCUUUUACAAUCGGUUUCUUUUUUUAAUUCGAAAAAAAAACCCCCUUACAAAUGAUAGAUUUUGGCUUUUUAAAGCCGAUCUACCAAACAUUCAUUCCAUAUUUUUUUGUUUUUGUUCCUUUGUUUAUUUUUUUUCCAUCAUUCGCAUGCUUUCUCUUGCUGUUGUUUUUGUCUCUGUUGCAGGUGCCAUGCGACGCGUGGAAGAGGCGACGGUCAGGGCAUGCAUGGGAGGAGCGACGGCUGCAAUGCUUUGGUGGCUAGGGUUCUUUUUUAGCAGAAAAUAUUUUGUGGGCUAGGGUUUCUAAGCUUUUAGGUUUAUUGGGCUUCUUUUGGGUUUUAAAAUUUUUUUGGCUGGUGUGGGUUUUGCAAAUAGACAUUUAUUUUAUUUGGGUUUUGUUACUUUAAUGGGUUUGGGCAAUUUGUCUUGGGUUGUUUAACAUUGUAAAUGGACUUGAAAGUUGGUUAUGUGGAUUUUAUUUUUUGGCUUAUUUGUUUGGGCCAAAAUUGGCCAUUAUAAUUUAGAAUGGAAGUAUCAAUUUGUUGGAGAGAAAAAAUAAAAUAGUGGAGAUUCAAUUUAAGUUAAACAUCGUAUCAG
rnacentral:lncRNA from 1 species